rnacentral:lncRNA from 1 species
UGAGUUAGAAUAAACUGUCAAGACUUAAAACUUACUUACUUUACCUUUCACCAUGGGACUUGUAACCGUCACUUCUGUCUUGAGUGGUUAAAAGAUAGAACAGUCCCGUCAAGUGCCAUGUCUCUUAUUCUUGAUCAGCUAUAGCUCUGGAGUUUUUGUAGAUUUUCAAAUAAAACUCAGAGAUUCCUUUGUAUGACUCUCUCAUAUCUCUCUUUUGUGGUAUUUCUGGAUCCUUACCAAGGCAGUGAUGGUAUAUGCCUUCUCUCAAAAUAUGUGGUAUUUGUGGUAUAAGGCAUAGUGACAUUGCCUUCUCUCUCACCCUACUCUAAUAAGGCUUUAAUAUCUGGAGCUCAUAGGUGGGAGAUAAAGUAUACAUACUUUCAAGACAUGUAUUGCAUAGUCAAACCAUGGAUCCAAAGAAACAAAUCAAUAAGCCAAAUCAAGAUGUGCAUGUGUGGCGAAUGAAUGGUGAUGAUGGUGAUAACAAUGGUGAAAGUCUAAUUCUACUUUUGCUCUUAUGAGGGGACACAUACCUUCCUUGCUUUUUGAAACUUUAUGAGGAGAAUGAGAUGCUCUUCUUUUUCUUUCCUCUCAGGUGGGUAUCUUGUACCCCUAAUUCUACUGUCGGACACUUGUCCAUUUUUACCUCUCGUCUCACUUUUUCUUUCUUUCGAGAUUCCGGGCACUUGCCCCUUUUUAUUUCCUCGUUUAUUCUCUUUUUUUUUUCUUUUCUUCUCUUUUCUUCUUUUUUUUAGAGCACUCAUCUCCUGAAAUAAUGUAGCAAGUGGUAGUAACCAAAAUAACUAGAGCAUUUAUUUCACAGGGAAUAACAGGGAUAGGAAAAUGUUUUUGGUUAUUCUCUCCCGGAUUAGGAGUAGAAUGAUUUUGGGUGAAACUGGAGAUGGAAAUGGAUGGAUAUAUGUGGAUGGUACUUCCGGAGUAGAAGUAGCAUAUAUGAGUGAACGUGCAAGUGAAUCUUGAUUUAACCACAUGACAAGCUCCUAAGGGUCUACACAGCUUGACCACACUCAAUGCUCAUAAGCAGUAAAUAAAUGUGUGGCUCAAAGUCUAGCAAGCAUGUAUACAUGGCUGUGGUAGGAAUUUAAACUUUCAUCAUACAGGAACUCAUCAUGCAAUAUUUUAAAGAUUUUUCAAAGAUAAAAUUCUCCAGAAUUCUAGCAUCUCUAGGAAUAGAUAAACAGCAGCUCAACCUUCCCAUAUCGUAUCCGUUAACAACUUAGACUUUAGAUCAAGUUUUCAUCCCACAAGUUUAGGUCUAGAGCAAGCUUUAAAUUAUAACAGUUAUAUCUAAACUUGAGAGAGAACUUAAAAUUUGCAAAUUAGGCAGAGCAGCUAUUCAUCAUAUCCAUGCUAGAGUUUUAUUAUUAAGAUUCAGAUUAGCAUAGCCACUUUAUUUAUUUAUUAAACACACUAAGCAAAAGAUAUAUAUAUAUAAGCACAAAAUCUUUAUUUGGUUUUUCAUAGUUUAUGUAUUUUAAUAUUAUAAUAUAAUAUAAGUAUAAAGAUAGGUAGAAAUACUUAGCGAGAUAAAUAGGGGUGCUCUCCCCCAAGCUGAAUUUUGACGUAAUUUCUCUUAAUGUAGCUAGCAGGUGGCAGAGGUGUAUUUGAAAGUCAGCAGCAUUCUGACAGCGAUUAGAAUGUCCUCCAUCUGCUAGUCUUCUUGAUUCUUAAAUUCUGUGGAGCUCAAAUAGACAACAAAGCUUGUGGAACUAAUUAAGUGUUAGCAUAAAUAUCUAGCCUUCAUCACGUUGAGCUUCCUCAAUAAAUAUUACUCCCUGUUUUUAUAUUUUUAUUUUAUAAAGUAGAAAAGAAAUAUUUAUUUUAUUUUUAUGCCACCACAGUGAAGGUACUUAUGGGUUUUAUGCCAUUCGUAUACUCAAAUGGGGCUUAGUAUUUUUUUAACAUUUUUAUUUUCUUUUCAAGAUAGCAUGAUUAACUAAUAAUCUAUUUAAGGAAAGUAAAUAAUUAAAUGGAAAAGGGAAUGCAGAAAGGAUAAAUAUGGAUAACUACCAAUCUUACCUUUCGGCGAGGGUUCAAUGUUUUAAGUCUUCUUGUCAAGACUUCUCAUCGUGUUCAUUCUUCAGGUGCGUCAUUUGAUUCAGGUGCGGACCUUGAUGUCUGCACCUUUUAAUACGGUGUCACCCAUGUUCUUCGUUUGCCCAGCAGUUCGAAUUGCGGUGUUAGCAGUAUCUUGCUCAGCGUGUUUGUGCUCGUAGUGUACCUGCUCAUAGAGACAAGGCAGAGAUCAAGUGCAUGGGCCCUGUUGGUGGAAAACACCAACAGAACCAAAAGUGUAUUUGUUCUUCUCUAACCUUAAGCAUAGUGAGCAAGACAAAGUUGAUGGAUAAUAAGUUCAUGAGUGUAGCACUUAUAACAUUUGUCAGAUCAGAUCGCUCAACCUUAUGGAAAGAUAAUCUAUUUAUGUAUAUGUCUUUUUCUUUAUAUCUCUCAAUGAUUGAAUGUGUAAUAUUUUAGCUCAUAUGAUUAGGAGUGUGGGAUCAUGGAGGUAGUACUAAGAACAAGGAUUAAAGGACUAAACAUGUUUAAUCAGAUGGGUUGGUUAAUCUAGAGUUGUAAAUCAUACACGUUUGUCUCUUUUAUUUAUAUGAACGCCAGAACCAAGGAGAAGCUUAUAAAAGUGAUAGUCAAGUACCUUAAGAUGUUACCUUGCUCGAAGAGUGAUGGUACAGUAUCAUCUUGUGGAAGCUUUCCUUUCUUAGCGGUUGUGCGUCGUGUUUGUGGCACCCUCCAUGGAUCAUCUCUCUAUGAUGAAUGAGCUAUGUCCUUCUUGUGCAAAUUGUUAAACUUCAUGUGUCACUCUCUUCUUCUCUGAUGUGAGUUUAUCUCAGGACUUCCCAAAUCGAUAUUGAAAGUUUUUCUGCGGGGGUUAGUCCGACAAAAUAUACCAAUAUCUACUCAAGCAGUUUUUUUUUAGUUCAAUAACCAAACUAGACUCCAUGUCUAAUCAGAUUAAGGAAGGCUAUUUAACCUAAGCACCAUGCUUAAUUUAAAUGCCAAUGGAAGUAUGGCGAGUACUUCCAAACCAACACUUGCUAGUAAAUAGACAAAGGUAGCAUGACAGCGUUUAUAGAGAUCUACUCAAGUGGAGAUGAAGUAGUGUGAUUAGUAUUUAACAAAUUGAGCAUGUCUCAAAGGUAGGGACAACCAGCAUAGCAACAUGGCAAAGGAUGUUUUUAUGUAAAGUACUCCUCCAAGCUUGAAUUUUGCAGAAUUCAAGUUUGGAUGAAUUUAAUUCAGUGUUGCAUGAUGAUUGGUUGGACAUACCUUGUGCUUGUCAUUCAUCCGAUCUUCUUGCUCCAAUCCUAGAAAGGUUAGUGACAAGAAUACCCGAAGGAAUAUUUUUUUUUUACAAUUAUCCUUAUAUGCUCAAUACACAAGGUAAUGUUGCAAAUAAUUAAAAGCUCGUGUUACAAUCUGAUCAAUGCUUAUUUUAAGACACUAAGCUUGUCCUUGGGAAACCAUCAGUUUAUGUUGGCGAAGUGGUUUCCCCUCCGACGCCAACCUAUAUCGAGAUCAACUCAACGAGAUCUGCAAUAUUUAUUAUAGACAUAUGCAUCGACAACCGCCCUUUUAAAGUUUUUAUAAAUAGAAAGGAAGAGGGGGUUGGAGAUCUCAAGUGUGGUGAUGUCGGAGAGACCAAUAGAUUGGGAAGAUGUUGCAUAUGAGCAUGGAGUAAACGAAGUGGCUAUGAAAUAAAUUCCAUGCUCAUUAAUGUUAUCUUCGUCUCUAAUCUGAAUGUUCGGAGUUUCUCCUGGAUUGGUCUCACCUAUGUCCUCUUCUGUAGUUGGAUGAAUCUCAUCUUCAAAGGGAGUCAAGAACUCACCAUUUGAAAUUGAGCCAAAGUCAGAACCCAUUAAGGCUUCUUCCUUAUCCAUCCAUUCUACACAUUCUAGCCAUUUAGAACUUGUGAUCAUGGAAGGGGAGUAGAUAGAAUUGUCUAUAUGGCUUAGCUCUCCUUCACUUGAUAUGUCAUCCUCGACUUCUUCAUGAUAGGAACCAGGAUAUUCUCUAAGAGAAACAUUAUUGCAAGGAUUUGAAUUAUCCCUGCUUGAAGGUCUCUUAUAGAACCAGAAGUCUAAACCAUCAGCAUCUAAAAGAUUUAAGGUUGGAACUCCUUCCUCUCUUGGAGAAUUUUGGGGUAUUGAUGGUUUAGGAUCGAUAGCUAAAGUUUGGGAUUGAAGUGGUUGUGAUCUGGCUAUCGAAACUUCUUCUUCUUGCCUAGGAACUGGUUCUUUCUCUUUCUCAGGGAUAUAAAAGCUAGGAGACUUUCCGCUCAUUAAAUCAAUCAAAUUCCAAGCUUCACUAGCGGAUAGGUGGUGGAAAGAUCCUCUAGAGGCCGCAUGAAGGGUUUGCUUAUCUUCCUUACUAAGGCCCUCAAAAAAGUGAAUUAGAAGAACUUCUUCUAGAAUAGAAAGUUUUGGGCCAGUGAGAGUAAGGUUAAUAAAGCGGUCCCAUGAUUUGCCAAGAGAUUCUUCUUCCAGUUGUCUAAAAGAAAGAAUCUCACACCGAAGUUCCACCACUUUGGAGAUUGGAAAAUAUUUAGAAAGAAAACUACUAUAUAACUCCUUCCAAUCUCCAUGAGCACUCCCUACUUUGAGGUUAUACCAAUGUCUAGCUUUUCCCGUUAAAGAGAACGGAAAGAGCUUCCAUUUAAGGGUCUCAUCGGACAUGCCUUCUAUGCGAAGGAGGUCACAGACUCGAUAAAACUCUCUUAGGUGUGUGUAUGGGUUUUCCUCACCUUCUCCUGAGAAAGGUUGUUUUUGAAUAAAUUCUAUGUAUUCGGGGUCUAUCUCAAAACUCGAUGCUAUGAUAGGCUUUGAAGAUUUUGGUGGUUCGAGAUGUGUGCCCAUAGGUCUAUGAAAUUCAUAGAUAGACAUGUUUGAAUUCAUAAUAGACCAGAGAUCAAGGAUUAGAUAAGAAGAAAGAAUAGCAGAGAUGAGGCAAAGGAUAAAAGGAAAAUAUUUUUUUUUUGUUAUAUAUUUUUUUUUAUAAAAUGAUUAAACUAGUUCGUAGUCAACUCAGCAACCGUUUCCCCGGCAACGGCGCCAAAAAUGCUUGUUGACACUUGCUAACACCACUUGAAUACUAGGUUGUCAUCCCCAGCAUGGCACUAGAGUGUACUAUGGUAUUUAUACGCAAACAGAUAAUCCGCAAGCGCACGGAUACCGUUGAAGCUUUUACCCGGUUAAAGGUUUUAUCGUAUCCACAGGGAAACGGGAGAACCAACUACGCUCUAACUUAACCAAGAUAGAUAGAUAGGUGUAAAUAGGAAAGUUGAUAGAAUCGAAUAAGAACAAUAUUAAAGGUAAGAUAACAGUGAGUGAUAAUAUGGGAAUAGAGAGUAGAGCAAUUCUAGUAUAUGGGCGAUGGUAGCAGAAUAGAGAGGAUAACUAUGGUUUCUCUACUUCAAAGGGGUAUGUCUAUGUCUGGGACGAACCACGUGAUAAGAGUACACCACAAAGGAUGCUUAUCCAUAGGCCGAUAAACCCUACCCGUCCUGCUAACGAGAGGUGGACUACAGGGGACCAACGUAACUGUCACCUACGCGGCCUACCACACGAUCCAGCUAGUCAGGGGAUAUCCACAAGUAAUCUAGGUCUAAGCACCACGCUUACACCUAUACUACAACUCUAACCUAUAGGGUCCUAUAGAUUAGAAGUACUCAAAAGAGUUGUGAACCAGAACAUACAUGAUUAGUAAUUGCAUAAUGAAUUAGAAGUAGAUUACCAGAGUCAUCCCAUGAGCAAGCUUGAUUAGAGCUUGAUCAUGGCGAAGUACAACCGAAGGAAGAACCGACAGGCCGGCCUCUCCUCUAAUCCUCCUUCGCUCUCCAUCUCGCUACUAUCUAGAUCUACUCUAGUUUAGAGAAGAGAGGAGAGCUCUCAUCUCUAAACCCUAGAUUUUGCUCUGUCUAUGAAUAAUGAAUAAUGAUCAAGGGGUGCCUCCUCCAGGGGCCAGGGGGUCUGGUUUUAUAGUCCCCUCAAGUGAACCUGGGCCGUCGGAUCAAACCGACAUUGAUUGAACGGUUAUUCUUGAUCCUUUAGGUCAGUGGAGCAUAAUCCGCGAGAUUGAGCGUGAUUGGCCACAGGAGGUGGGCGGGCGCCCAGUAGGACAGGGCGGGCGCCCUGUCUCUGGCCCCGUUUCGCCUCCGCUUCGGUCUCGUGGCUUCUGGAGUCUUCUAGAUGUAAGAUAAUUGUACGGCACGUUGAUAUCUCUAUGUAAUCCCGACGUGUGGGCCUUUCUUCCUUAUUUCCUGAUAACCCCCUACAGAAAUAGACAAACACCAAAACUCGUAGAAUUCUGUCAGAUAAAACCCUAAGUCUUGAUGUUGAUUUCAUUUGGAUCCUUUUCUUUGUUUAUUUGAUAGUUAAAUUUGAUACUUAAGGACCGUCAACAAACUCCCCCAAGCUUACCUCUUGCUCGUCCCUGAGAAUGGAUAGACUCAGCUAUGGAUCAUAAGUUGUUGCAAUAUCUUUAAAAAUUGACGGUACACAUGCUUUUAAAUGAAGUCUCAUCUCUGAGUUAGAGUAAACUGUCAAGACUUAAAACUUACUUACUUUACCUUUCACCAUGGGACUUGUAACCGUCACUUCUGUCUUGAGUGGUUAAAAGAUAGAACAGUCCCGUCAAGUGCCAUGUCUCUUAUUCUUGAUCAGCUAUAGCUCUGGAGUUUUUGUAGAUUUUCAAAUAAAACUCAGAGAUUCCUUUGUAUGACUCUCUCAUAUCUCUCUUUUGUGGUAUUUCUGGAUCCUUACCAAAGCAGUGAUGGUAUAUGCCUUCUCUCAAAAUAUGUGGUAUUUGUGGUAUAAGGCAUAGUGACAUUGCCUUCUCUCUCACCCUACUCUAAUAAGGCUUUAAUAUCUGGAGCUCAUAGGUGGGAGAUAAAGUAUACAUACUUACAAGACAUGUAUUGCAUAGUCAAACCAUGGAUCCAAAGAAACAAAUCAAUAAGCCAAAUCAAGAUGUGCAUGUGUGGCGAAUGAAUGGUGAUGAUGGUGAUAACAAUGGUGAAAGUCUAAUUCUACUUUUGCUCUUAUGAGGGGAUACAUACCUUCCUUGCUUUUUGAAACUUUAUGAGGAGAAUGAGAUGCUCUUCUUUUUGUUUCCUCUCAGGUGGGUAUCUUGUACCCCUAAUUCUACUGUCGGACACUUGUCCAUUUUUACCUCUCGUCUCACUUUUUCUUUCUUUCGAGGUUCCGGGCACUUGCCCCUUUUUAUUUCCUCGUUUAUUCUCAUUUUUUUUUCUUUUCUUCUCUUUUCUUCUUUUUUUUAGAGCACUCAUCUCCUGAAAUAAUGUAGCAAGUGGUAGUAACCAAAAUAACUAGAGCAUUUAUUUCACAGGGAAUAACAGGGAUAGGAAAAUGUUUUUGGUUAUUCUCUCCCGGAUUAGGAGUAGAAUGAUUUUGGGUGAAACUGGAGAUGGAAAUGGAUGGAUAUAUGCGGAUGGUACUUCCGGAGUAGAAGUAGCAUAUAUGAGUGAACGUGCAAGUGAAUCUUGAUUUAACCACAUGACAAGCUCCUAAGGGUCUACACAGCUUGACCACACUCAAUGCUCAUAAGCAGUAAAUAAAUGUGUGGCUCAAAGUCUAGCAAGCAUGUAUAUAUGGCUGUGGUAGGAAUUUAAACUUUCAUCAUACAGGAACUCAUCAUGCAAUAUUUUAAAGAUUUUUCAAAGAUAAAAUUCUCCAGAAUUCUAGCAUCUCUAGGAAUAGAUAAACAGCAGCUCAACCUUCCCAUAUCGUAUCCGUUAACAACUUAGACUUUAGAUCAAGUUUUCAUCCCACAAGUUUAGGUCUAGAGCAAGCUUUAAAUUAUAACAGUUAUAUCUAAACUUGAGAGAGAACUUAAAAUUUGCAAAUUAGGCAGAGCAGCUAUUCAUCAUAUCCAUGCUAGAGUUUUAUUAUUAAGAUUCAGAUUAGCAUAGCCAC